rnacentral:rRNA from 1 species
GACAGCGGAUGCAAGCGUUAUCCGGAAUGAUUGGGCGUAAAGCGUCCGCAGGUGGCAAUGUAAGUCUGCUGUCAAAGCGUCUGGCUCAACCAGAUAAAGGCAGUGGAAACUACAUAGCUAGAGUAAGGUAGGGGUAGAGGGAAUUCCUGGUGUAGCGGUGAAAUGCGUAGAGAUCAGGAAGAACACCGGUGGCGAAAGCGCUCUGCUGGACCUUAACUGACACUGAGGGACGAAAGCUAGGGGAGCAAACAGG